UCUAAUAUGGCAGAUUAGUGUAAUGAAUUUAAGAUUCAUAAAUAAAAUUUAUAUUUUUAUUAGAA
rnacentral:tRNA from 2 species